rnacentral:lncRNA from 10 species
GCAAAGGCCCUGUGGGAGAGAAUUUGGAUACUGAAAGAAUUAAAACAUUCAAAGUGGCUGGAGAAAUAGGGCUAACAUCUUACACGUACUUAUAUGCCAUGUUAAGACCACGUUAAGUGCUGAGAAGCUGUGGAAAGUCCUCAAGAAUUUCAAGGUCUGUUACAGAAGUCUCGGUUUACUUCAAUUUCUGUUCUGCUUCUCUCUUUGGCACCAUCAGGAAACCCUAGCCCCGUGUCUGUGAAAACUCCAAAGCUUAACAUUCUAACCACUCUAGGGAGGGAGGAUGGGAGGAAGAGAGCUGAGUGUGCACCAAGGAGCGGUAAGAUGCCAGACCUGUGAGUGAAGAAGCAUCUUGGAAGUGGACCCUAUAGCUCCAGGCACCUGCUGACACAUAGUCGGAGACAAACCACCCAGUCAAGUUCAACCCAAAUUCCUGACCCAAAAAAUCAUAAGCAAAAUAAAAUAUUUGUUUAAAGCCA